rnacentral:lncRNA from 1 species
UCCAAGUAAGCUUCUCAAAGGCGAGAAUGAAGAUCACUCAUCUUUAACUUAACACAAUUAUACAGUAACUGUGGACACUCGACGAUCCAAUAUUUUUUUGGCUUCCUAGCGUUAGUCAAUCAAAACGACGUUAUUUUGAUAGUAGUGAUUCUGUCAGUUUUUCGUCGCCCCAACCUCGCUUUGGCGGUGGCUCUGUCAGGUUUUGGUGACCCCGAUGUUGUUUCGGCGGUGAUUUUGUUUUCUCCUAGCAGGGGGGUCUCUAACGAAGUUCUUAGUGGCCGUGGCAAAGUUAAAACGACAGAUGGGACAGGUAAAAUAUCUCUUCUCCCACAGCCACUCCCAAAUACAAGCAUUGUGAUAAAAGUUGCUGACACCCACAAUUCAACAGAGUAGCAUCGUUGUCAAAAUCCUCAAACUCGUUCAAACAAAUAGCACAUUGCUGUUGCUCUUGCUCUUCCACGACAGCAUCACCUUUCAUUAUCAUCCCCUUAAUUAAUUACACUCAAAACGACACCAAUUUGGGUGGAAGCAGAGACGUUUUGCCUUUUAAUUGGCGAUUAAUCAGCAGCAAGCAGAGGGAAAGUAAAGUCAUACAAGCGGCUGUUAGAAUGAAUUAGCUGGGCUUCUUUUAUACAAGUACUGUUAUGUUACCGAAUCUGAUGAAGUUUUACACUUACUACCGUUUCCGAGAAGGAUUUGGGAUUUCGUUAUUUUUA